GAGGGUGAGACUCAGCAGUAGAGCACAUGCCUAGCACGCAUGAGGUCCUGGGUUCCAUCCUCAGUACCUCCA
rnacentral:tRNA from 1 species